rnacentral:tRNA from 1 species
UGGUGUAACGGUUAGCACACUCGGCUCGUAUUCGAGAGGUCGAAGUUCGAGUCUUGG